rnacentral:lncRNA from 1 species
AUGAUGGAUCUCAAACACAGUCAAUCUGUGAAGCUGAAUGAUGGGCACUUCAUGCCGGCACUUGGAUUUGGUACUUUUGCUCCUAAACCAAUUUUUCAGUUUGAAUUGACUGCAGAGGACAUGAAAGUAAUUGAUGGCCUCGACAGGAAUUUACGAUAUUCUAAAUUUCUAUUGACUCAGGAUAGAUCAUAAGGAAAACUGCUAGAAGAUGCGUCAUUGUGAAUCCACUUCUUAUUUACUACCUGUUCCAGAGGCACUGUUUUCAGGGGCCAUUUGCCCAUUAGACAGAAG